ACAUUAGAAGUGAACUGUUGUUCUACUAUGUUUGUAGUGAGCUGAUUACACAAUACACAUUGAGGGACAAUCAGUGGUAGUGUG
rnacentral:lncRNA from 13 species